AGGGCAGUGGCUCAAUUGGUAGAGCAUCGGUCUCCAAAGCCGAGGGUUGGGGGUUCGAGUCCCUCCUGCCCUGCCA
rnacentral:tRNA from 1 species